UAUACAUGAGAGCAUACAUAGA
rnacentral:miRNA from 1 species